UACGUAGGGUGCGAGCGUUAAUCGGAAUUACUGGGCGUAAAGCGUGCGCAGGCGGUUCGCUGUGUCCUGUGUGAAAGCCCCGGGCUUAACCUGGGAAUGGCAUGGGAAACUGGCGGGCUGGAGUGUGGCAGAGGGGGGUGGAAUUCCGCGUGUAGCAGUGAAAUGCGUAGAGAUGCGGAGGAACACCGAUGGCCGAAGGCAGCCCCCUGGGCUAACACUGACGCUCAGGCACGAAAGCGUGGGGAGCAAACAGG
rnacentral:rRNA from 1 species